rnacentral:lncRNA from 1 species
UCUGGGAAAAAAAAGCAGUAAAAUCAACUCAAAGAAAGUAAGAUGAAGACAGAAAAUGAUAGAAUCAAGUUCACUGAAUCACAGUGUGUCUUUAAGGAAUUUAUUCCCUUCAAAUACCAGAGGUCAAUGGAAUAUCUCCUCCCGAAAUAAAAUAAUUCACUUCAGAAAAUAGUGAAACCUCAAAUUUUCUGAACAACGAACUCACUCAACAACUUGAAGAUCACACUAGAGUUUUUAGAAGAAGAAGAUGACAUUUUUCAACUCAAAUUUUGUGUCUUUACUCGAGAAAAGUUUCAGGUAUUUAUACCCAAAAGGUGGUACUUCGAAAAGGAAGCAAUGGUUCACGAAGCAAUACAUUAUUUUCGAAACGACACCUACCUGCGCUAGAUCUGUGUCUGACCUGCAUUGAAUUUGCGCGCGUAGGUAGCGUUUGGCACAAACCAG